UACGUAGGGGGCAAGCGUUGUCCGGAUUUAUUGGGCGUAAAGAGCUCGUAGGUGGUUCGGUAAGUCGGAUGUGAAAUCUCCAGGCUCAACCUGGAGGGGUCAUUCGAUACUGCCGUGACUAGAGGUCGGUAGGGGAGUGUGGAAUUCCUGGUGGAGCGGUGAAAUGCGCAGAUAUCAGGAGGAACACCCGUAGCGAAGGCGGCACUCUGGGCCGAUAUUGACACUGAGGAGCGAAAGCGUGGGGAGCGAACAGG
rnacentral:rRNA from 1 species